rnacentral:rRNA from 1 species
AUGAACGCUGGCGGCGUGCCUAAUACAUGCCAGUCGAGCGGACGGACGAGAAGCUUGCUUCUCUGAUGUUAGCGGCGGCCGGGUGAGUAACACGUGGAUAACCUACCUAUAAGACUGGGAUAACUUCGGGAAACCGGAGCUAAUCCCGGAUAAUAUUUUUAACCGCAUGGUUCAAAAGUGAAAGUCGGUCUUGCUGUCAGUUAUGGAUGGAUCCGCGGUGCAUUAGCUAGUUGGUAGGGUAACGGCUUACCAAGGCAACGACGGGUAGCCGGCCUGAGAGGGGGACCGGCCACAAGGGGACUGAGAGACGGGCCAGACUGCUACGGGAGGGAGCAGGGGGGAAUAUUGCACAAUGGGAGGAAGCCUGAUGCAGCAACGCCGCGUGCGGGAUGACGGCCUUCGGGUUGUAAAACGCUUUCGCCUGUGACGAAGCGUGAGUGACGGUAAUGGGGAAAGAAGCACCGGCUAACUACGUG